CCUCCCAACCCUACAUACUUCUUCAUAUACCCAUAUGGAGUCGGCCGGCGUUAUGGAAUGUUAAGAAGUAUGUAUUUUUGGGCUGG
rnacentral:pre_miRNA from 1 species